rnacentral:lncRNA from 1 species
GGGGAAUCUGAAGAGGCCCAUUGAGUUGCACAAUAAAGCAUGCAGAGACCUGGGGAAAACACCUCAGAGUGCGGAGGAAAGGCUGGCCAGGGUGGAGGAGAGCCACAUUGGAUGGGCAUUUUGAGGAAUCAUCACAGGAAAUCUAGCUGGGCCGGAGUGAGCAAGACCAGCUGCACACGACAGCCAGACACUCCCUCUGGACCGGCGGGAAAAGAGAUGGUCCAUGUGCUUCUCCUUCUGGAAUAACGAAAGAAAGAAGAAAGAAUAAAAGGAGAGCAGGAAGAGAAGAAAGCAAAGAGAAAGAAGAUAUAGGAAUGUAACAUCUGUGGAUGUUUUGAAGUUAUUGAACCAUGGACUGGAAUUAGAAUUUCAAAAACUGGUGUAUCGAUAGGCCACCAUAUUGCUUAUUCCCAACUCAAACAUUUAACAGCAAAACCGGAUAAAGCCUGGAAAGCUGGAGCCAAUGCUGGAGGUGGAGACCAGCUACCCUCACCUUCGAUUCCUUUUUCUCUAGAAGGACGGAUACUUGGGGUAAAAUCUACCUCUUCCACUUUGGUCCUUCAAAGACCAUUAUAAAAAUAAAUGCAUAGAGAAACA